UGAGGAAUAUUGGUCAAUGGACGAGAGUCUGAACCAGCCAAGUAGCGUGAAGGAUGAAGGUUCUAUGGAUUGUAAACUUCUUUUAUACGGGAAUAAACGAAUCCACGUGUGGAUUUUUGCAUGUACCGUAUGAAUAAGGAUCGGCUAACUCCGUGCCAGCAGCCGCGGUAAUACGGAGGAUCCGAGCGUUAUCCGGAUUUAUUGGGUUUAAAGGGAGCGUAGAUGGGUUGUUAAGUCAGUUGUGAAAGUUUGCGGCUCAACCGUAAAAUUGCAAUUGAUACUGGCAGUCUUGAGUACAGUUGAGGUAGGCGGAAUUCGUGGUGUAGCGGUGAAAUGCUUAGAUAUCACGAAGAACUCCGAUUGCGAAGGCAGCUUACUAACCUGUAACUGACAUUGAUGC
rnacentral:rRNA from 1 species